AGUUAAGUGAGAAAGCGUACAGGGCGGAUGCCUUGGCAAUCAGAGGCGAAGAAGGACGUGCUAAUCUGCGAAAAGCGUGGGUGAGUUGAUAAGAAGCGUUUAACCCACGAUGUCCGAAUGGGGAAACCCGAUAGGCGAAGAGCCUAUCAUUGCGAGGUGAAUAAAAUAGCCUCGUAAGGCGAACCGGGAGAACUGAAACAUCUAAGUACCCCGAGGAAAAGAAAUCAACCGAGAUUCUGUGAGUAGCGGCGAGCGAAAGCGGAGGAGCCAGUAAGUAAUAGCAGCAGAGAUAGAGGAAUUGUCUGGGAAGGCAAGCGACACAGGGUGAUAGCCCCGUACUUAAAAUCCAGGCUGUGGUACUAAGCUUACGAGAAGUAGGGCGGGACACGAGGAAUCCUGUCUGAAGAUGGGGGGACCAUCCUCCAAGGCUAAAUACUCCUGAUUGACCGAUAGUGAACCAGUACUGUGAAGGAAAGGCGAAAAGAACCCCGGUGAGGGGAGUGAAAUAGAACCUGAAACCCUGUACGUACAAGCAGUGGGAGCCCGCAAGGGUGACUGCGUACCUUUUGUAUAAUGGGUCAGCGACUUAUAUUUUGUAGCGAGGUUAACUGAAUAAGGGAGCCGAAGGGAAACCGAGUCUUAACUGGGCGUUGAGUUGCAAGGUAUAGACCCGAAACCCGGUGAUCUAGCCAUGGGCAGGUUGAAGGUUGGGUAACACUAACUGGAGGACCGAACCGACUAAUGUUGAAAAAUUAGCGGAUGACUUGUGGCUGGGGGUGAAAGGCCAAUCAAACCGGGAGAUAGCUGGUUCUCCCCGAAAUCUAUUUAGGUAGAGCCUUGUGUGAAUACCUUUGGGGGUAGAGCACUGUUUCGGCUAGGGGCCCAUCCUGGGUUACCAAACCGAUGCAAACUCCGAAUACCAAAGAGUAAUGCACAGGAGACACACGGCGGGUGCUAACGUCCGUCGUGGAGAGGGAAACAACCCAGACCGCCAGCUAAGGUCCCAAAAUCUAUAUUAAGUGGGAAACGAAGUGGGAAGGCUUAGACAGCUAGGAUGUUGGCUUAGAAGCAGCCACCAUUUAAAGAAAGCGUAAUAGCUCACUAGUCGAGUCGGCCUGCACGGAAGAUGUAACGGGGCUAAAAUAUAGUACCGAAGCUGCGGCAUCAGGCGUAUCACUAAUACGCCUUAACGAUUAACCACUUGCGAAGCAAGUGGGUAAAGCGAAAAACACGUUGAGUGUAAUGGCAAAGAAUCGAAGAGGGAUAUUAGUGAUACGUCUGUUGGGUAGGGGAGCGUUGUGUAAGCGGAAGAAGGUGGUUCGAGAGGAUUGCUGGACGUAUCACAAGUGCGAAUGCUGACAUAAGUAACGAUAAAACGGGUGAAAAACCCGUUCGCCGGAAGACCAAGGGUUCCUGUCCAACGUUAAUCGGGGCAGGGUGAGUCGGCCCCUAAGGCGAGGCUGAAAAGCGUAGUCGAUGGGAAACGGGUUAAUAUUCCCGUACUUGGUAAAGUUGCGAUGUGGG
rnacentral:ncRNA from 1 species